rnacentral:rRNA from 1 species
UACGGAGGGUGCAAGCGUUGUCCGGAAUCACUGGGCGUAAAGGGCGCGCAGGCGGCGCGGGAAGUCAUCGGUGAAAGUUCAGGGCUCAACUCUGAAUCGGCCGGUGAUACUCUCGUGCUUGAGCACUGUAGAGGCAGGUGGAAUUCCGGGUGUAGCGGUGGAAUGCGUAGAGAUCCGGAAGAACACCGGUGGCGAAGGCGGCCUGCUGGGCAGUAGCUGACGCUGAUGCGCGACAGCGUGGGGAGCAAACAGG